rnacentral:lncRNA from 1 species
AUAACAAUUCUAAUUAAUCACGUGGCUAAAUCUUCUUUAAAUUAUAAUCCUUCUUGGCACUGUACAUUUAAUCACAGGAUAUAAAACUUUCUAGUCCCAUUUUUCAGGUAGUUAUUAGAGGGAAAGCUUUAAACUGACAUACUCAAAACCAUUCCUAAGCAUUCACUCUUUUAUAUAUUUUGCAGGUGUUCAAGGCUCCAGAAUCUCUCUCCUUGUUGAACUGGAAUUCCCACUGAAACUUCUACAGAAGAUUGAAAGGGGUCAGGAAAAAAAACAAUGUUCGCAACAAGGCAAGGGAUGCUGUAAUUUCUGUUUGCCACCGGGCACCAUGAAAACAAUGAAUCUGAGUUGUCAUGGUCUUGUGAGACAUGGUGCCCAAUCCAGCUGUGAUUAUCACUUCAGUUGUGACUCUAUGAAAUGAAAAAAUGUUCAGAAUGUGAAGACCAGGUACUCCUGAGUACUUCCCAAUGGAAAAAAUCAUAUCCUGGAUGAGGAGGUAUGCAUUUUCUUUCAACCUACUCUAGCAAAAGCUGUUUAUAAUAGUGAAAGACUUCUAACAUGAUUGUCUUUAAUGUUGCAGAGUUAAAGAGCCAGAUUUAACUGUUAUUGGAUAUCUUUCAACUCCAUCUCCUCUAGUCACUCUGGAUUUAUGUCAGUUUAACUGAAAAUAAUUUUCCUCUCAAAGUCUAUAUCAAGCAAUUGAUGCCACUGUCUCCUAUUCUCCAUUGUUAAAUAAAAGUGCUGUGAUGCAACUAAUUCUUGUUUGU